CUAGAUGUUCCAGAUUUAAGCCUCCAACUCUAUGUUAUAGCCUUCAGGAGUCACAUAGGCGCUCCUACCAAGUAGAAUAGUUAUGAUAUUUCCAUCAAGAUCAAAGUCUAAGAAGACAUUAUGUUGAACGAUUCGCACCGACUUGACUGGCAUGAUAGAUGGAUUGGUAGUUUCUGUUAUUUUCAGUGUUCCUUGUUGGACAUGAUUGGGGUGCUGUUAUAGCUUGGCAUGUAUGCCUUUUGCGACCUGAUAGGAUCAAAG
rnacentral:misc_RNA from 1 species